GAAUAGAAAAAUCCCAGCACUUCUGAGUGUACAAAACAGAUGUGAAACAAAGGUUGCUGCACACCCCAGAUGCUGGGUUGUGUUCUUCUCAGUGCUUUUCCCAUGUAACCACAGAGCAAUGCGAAUUAGUUUAGAGUUGUUUUGCUCCUAUCAAUAUGGAUACAGUGGCCAGAAUGCCCAACACACUGACCAUGCCCAGGCACUUGCUCCUAACCCAAACCUUACUUACUCUGCAUGGGGGUAAAUGUGAGGUUCACCCUCAGCUGCUUCUUUGUGAUACCCUACAUUGCCCCACAAGGUGUUCUUAAUCUGAGUGAAACAUUUUGCAGGCAUACAAGGUUUUUCAAGGUAACCUGCCUUACCAGUGCAUGAAAAAUUCUUCUUUACUAUUUCAUGGAAGCUGGUGUAUUUUCAGACAUGACCACACACAUCUGUAUUAAAUCAAAUUUGCUGAGUGUGUCUGUAUGUGGGCUAACAAAAAUGAAUGCUCCAGCUGUAGGCACUGCAGGGACCUAUUAGACUAAAUUUCAUUCCUAAAUCUUUCUGUAUUUAAAAAUUAAUUUUGUUACUUGCACUCUCUGCCAAUUAGUUCUUAUUUUAUUUAUUUUCUUAUUUUCUCAAUAUUUUCCAAAUGAAACAUUAAGUGACCCAUUUUAAUGAAGGAGUUUAUUCUUAGUUUUAAGUGUCAUAUGAAAGUCCCUCAAGUGGUGUCGUGGGUUUCUCUGGCUGUUUUUUUUUUUUUUCAGUGGGGGGUCUAUAUAGGGUGAUUUCUGCUAGAAGCUGCUGGAAGUUCCCCCCUAGUGGAGCCAAUGACAGUUGGCUACAGGAGGGACUUCUUGCUGUUUGGCCAAGGGAGAGCCAAUUGUUGUGCCUUUGUGAUAACAUAUUUAAGAAAAAAAGUUGUUGCACAGAAGAAAUUGGAGCCAGAAGGGUUGCAGAGGGAAGCCGCCAGGCCCGGGGCCAGGCCCCGCAGCCCCGUCCUGGGGGCUGUGGCCGGGCUGGGGCGGUCCCCUGCUGCAUCCCCUGCUGCGGUGGGGGUGGCGGCCAUGGCCCGGGGCUGCGUGGCAGCUGGCCGGAGGCAGGCACAGCACUGAAGCCGAGUCAGGCCAGCCCCACCGGUGGGCACUGCCCCCCUCACCCCUGCUCAUCCCAACCGAGCCGGGACGGUCUGGGGGCAGUCCCGCCACAUUGCAGCUGAGCCCAUGAUGGAACAAAUGGAUGCAUGAAAAUGAAGGAGGACUGCUACCCUCGUGGGAGUCCCAGGAGUUAGUGGGGUCCUUCGGAAGAUCUGUGGCUUGUGGAGAGGGAAGCCCAUGCUGGAGCAAUUUUUUCUGGAUUCCAGCCAAGGUCAACCCACGACAAGUGGAAAUUAUUACUCAGAAAGCUCAAGGAAGUGAUCAAACAUACAAGUUUUGGCAAGGAUAGGCCCUCAGACUGCUGUGGAAAUCUUCUGUAGAAAAAGUUAGUGAGCUCAGGGAACUGGAGCAGAGGAAGUGACAGGUGGUGCUGAAAGUCCGUGUGCCUGUCCGGCCAUGUCCAUGCUGCAACUGGAGUUACCAGGAUGGAGGGAAGUUCAAGUUCGCUACUGACAUUCAGCUGUCACGGCUUCAUUGUCCGCAUGCCUUCCCUUCUUUGACACAUUCAAGGGUACUUUAUCUGCACCACAAAGAGCUAGUCAACUGAUAUAAUUGCACUCUCCUCAGGUACUUGUUCAGGACUGUUGAUACAGUCUCAGGUUUAUUCAUUAGCUGAGCCAUUGAAAUUGUGGCUUGCCAACUCUUCUCCUAACAGUGCGAGUUUGCUUAUUUGGUCCAAAUAUUUAACUAUAUUUGUUUAAAGUUUUGCACGUUAUUCCUUAAUUGAGGUUAUGUUAUCUACAUUUUAAUGCCAUGUCAUUUGUGUCCAAUAAAAGAUUAUGUGAAGAACCCUAUCAUUUACCACAUUGGUUUAAAUAUAGCCAUCUGCAGAGAAUAAAAAUAUACAUAAGAGAUGUAACGAAGGGAAAAAAACCCAGAUAUUUAUUUGCUUUGAAAUCCAAUUACUAAGAAAUAGAGUCUGCAAUGAAAAAAAGGGGAAAAUGUAAGCUUGGGUCAGGGAAAGAGACAGUGAUUAGCUCCAUUGUUUUGGACUCUUUGAGCUUCAUUGGUCCAGAGAAAAACCCACUAAUGAGUAUACUGAAGCUUGCUAAACUUUGGAAGACAACUUAUGUUGUGGUGCUCAUCUGACUCGUGGUAGCAAAGUGUGUUUAUACAGAAAACAGCAAAAGUGCUUCUUUAUUAACUGCUUUCCUACACAAGCCCUACUGAGAUUACUGAUGAUAGCUUACUCGAAAAAUAUACUUUACCUGUAAGAGCAGUUCUUUGAUUCAAAACUUCAAUUUUUGGGAAUCCUGGUGUUAUGUGCUACAGGAAAUUUUAAAACUCAUUUUAAUGCUCUUUUAAUAAUUAAGCCAGAAGAAAGUUUGGUUUUUUUGAACUUGCUUUGGAUAUAUUUAUUUUGAUAUUUGUCUUGAUGCUUGGUCAAGGACUUGAAGUGUGUACAGCCAGACCUCAACACCACGGUAAACUUUGCCAUUGCAUAAGUUAUAUAUCAGAAGCUAUUGGUUGGUAGAUGUUCUACUCAGAAACACAGAGUUUACCACACAAAACUAUCUCCUUAUGUUUUUUUUCCUGCCAGCUUGAGCUGCUUUGUCCCAGGGCUGGUGCAGGAGAGGUUGCAGCAGUGUAAACUUACCACCAGCACGGCUUAUCUGAUGGAGAGGGACCACCUCUAGAGGCUGCAAGUUGCUGAAGCAGUUGACAGGGGUGCCAAGUUAGUGUCAAUUGUUGCAAUCGUUCUCUGCCAUCGUUCAUCUCACUUGUCCAUUGGGAACCAGCCUGAAACUGCCAAACUAAUUUGACAGAAACCAAUGAAUAGGCACCAGCUAACAACGGUCUUUAGUUACUUACUAGCUAUCUGAACCAGCCUGACAAGGACGUGUAUUAGGCCUCGUUUGCAAUGGUGAAGCACACAUGAAAACGUAUUUAUUGUAAUGGGGGUAACAACAGAUGAUCAAGUGAUGAUAUGAGGGAGCUCUGGAGGUCAAUGGUUGUCUCCAGGUGAGGCACCACUGACCUACCCUACAGUGAGAGUCCCAUCUACCUCCAGUUGGCUUUACGCUUUAUCAGCCAGAUCUCAUACAGUUUUUAAUAAUUUUAUCUGGGUCUCCAGUGGAAAGCUACAAUCCCAAUCUCUCCAUUAUCACUGAGUCAAUUAGCAGGUUUUAAAAUCACCGAUUGAACACCUGAUAAACUGCUUUAGCAGCAGGUCAGGAGAGACUCGAGGGGUGGCCAGAAAGAUCUGGCUUUGUCUGACAGGCUUUUUGUCUCCUUCACAGCCAUCACAGGACAGACCUGGUAACCAGAGGCUUAACUCUUGUAAGUGUUAUGGCUUAGAUGGAGAUCCAGCUUUAACUUAUCAAAAAAAUUUACAGUUGAAAGAUAAAACAGCUGUUCCUUAGGGGUACAGCAUCUGGUAGUAGAUGGCUCCUCUGCGACGCUUAUAAACAAAAUUGAGUUUAUUUAAUCCCACUGAGUUUGCAUGAUUCUUCCCCUGUACAUCCAAGGCAGUGAAGCAGUUAUUGUAAUCAAUCAUAAACAUACAUCCAAAGGCUCCCAAGUUCAUUACCACGUACUUACAAGUGCAUAAGCACUUGACUUCACAUUACACUACACCAGUGCAGCUGGAAAGAUUUAACUGAAGCUUUUCUCCACUUCUUCCAGUUCUUUUUAAACCAGAGCAUCUUGGUGUACAGGUGAAACCAAUGAUGUCCUGGAGCUUGGAAGAAAGUCAAUGUUUGAAUUUAGGCACUGACUGAGUUCUCAUCCCUCCAGAAUUAGUUAGUCAACUUUUUCAACUCAGCCUUGUCAGACAUUUGAGUUUAAUCUGAUGUGUGUUUUCUGGGUAGGUCCCAGCUUUAUGAGUUGCAGUACAACAUGGAUCAUUAAAAAAUAGCAUAUUCUUGUAGGAUGCUAAUACAUUGCUGAAGUGAUGUUUCAUCCUUCAUCCACUCCCAAAUUCACUCUGAAAUAGCCAACAGGAAAAAAAUAGCAAUUUCAUCACAAGGAACAUCCCUCUGAGUCCCAAGAAGAUGGAAACACCAGCUGCGUUGUGCAUUUGGUUUUGCCUGCAAGAGAAGGUUUAGGCAGGACUGUGACUCUGUCCAAGAAACUCUGCAGAGAGCAAAGGGAGUGGACCCAGAUAAAUCUGGUCCCACUACUCUUUGUGCUGUGUUUGCUGGGAAAUUAAGACAAAAGAAAGCAAUGCUAAAUGGCUAUGAAAUAGCAGCACAACAGCAAACAGCAUUUUAGUGUAGUACUGUGAGGUUAUUUGCAUAACAAAUUUUCCACCACUUUGUAUGCAUGUGUGUACAAAUACAAAUAUAAUAAAGACAUUGAAACCUUACUUAACUAGAGUAGGUGUAGAUGUUAUUCUAGUGUCAGCAUCUGUAUUUCUGAACGAAUUACAAGGCCAUGCUACUAAAAAACAAAACCCUACAAGUAGACUUCUGAGUCUGAUUUUGCUGAUUUGGAUGUGUUGUGAAACCAGCAAACCCUAUUGGCAUCACCAGGAGUUGCAAUAAUCAAUUUUUAUAAAAUCAGUUUAGUUAGGAGUAAAAUUUUCUGAAACCCCUGAACAGCUUUAUGGGAGAAGUAAAAUCUUUUAUUGACUCAAUUGAGAUGAUUAAAAAAAGAGAAGUUUUCAAGUUUGUGAACAUUUCUUGACAUUCCAGCCUCAUAAGUCAUAUGAACUCUUCCUGUAAACUUUGUCUGUUGUACUGAGAGAAUGAUGGCCACAACAAAAUUAUUAUAAAACUGACUUGGAGAAUUUCACCACUUUAUUUUUAUGGGCUUAAAAUUAGGCUCUGCAUUUCUUGACUGACUUGAUCAACGUGACCAUGUACAUUUUUGUUUAGGGCAUUUAGGAUUUAUAGUGGUUGUGUAUUGGGAUUAAACUGGUUUCAAGGCUGUGUUGCUCUUCUGUUUCUUCCUAUUUUCUAUUCUUU